rnacentral:lncRNA from 1 species
GUUGCUGAUCAGCUGAUUUCCCUUCAUGAACUCCCUCUCGUUGCCCCGGUUCUCAGUCACAACAGGGAAGGCAUGAUGAACAGUUGUGCGCAGGAUGCUAACGAGGGAUUGGAUCCGGGUGUGGGGGUAGACAUAGGUCAGGUUGGGUUCCAUGAUGUCGCUGGCUCGUAGUUUAUCCAUUUCCACCUCUGUUUCCCACUCCAGAAGAGGCACUCCUCUCAGGUUCACAUGGAUGUCAUAGAUUCCCUUGUUGAAAAAGUCUCCUGUCCAUUUGGCUACCAUGAGGGUGAUCAUUAUUGGGAGCCCAUAGGUGAUUUCAUUGGUGGAUUCAAUUAGGAUUACAGUCAGGCUAAUUGUCAUCCGGACCACUCCUCCCAGGAAUGCUGCUG